GGCCAGUAUGGCAUAGUAGUUUGAGUGUUGGACUAUGAUUCUGAAGACCAUGGUUCGAUUCCCAGCUUGGCUA